GGGAGUUAUUGGCUGAAAACUCGUUACAUGGGUCAAAUAGAAAGCUUAAGGGGUUAAGACACUCAGUAGCAAUACAACAUUAAAAAAAAAAUUAAUCAAUAAAUAAAGGAUGAAAGUAACAAUAUACUUAUCCAUAUGAUUUGGAGAUAAAGGUAGGGAUAAUUUAGAAAAGUUCAAAAAAAAUUUAGUGUUCUUAGUUUAACUCUUAUAU
rnacentral:lncRNA from 1 species